rnacentral:rRNA from 1 species
UACGUAGGUGGCGAGCGUUGUCCGGAUUUACUGGGCGUAAAGAGCGCGCAGGCGGUCGUUCAAGUCGCGUGUGAAAGCCCCCGGCUCAACUGGGGAGGGUCACGCGAUACUGAUCGACUCGAAGGCAGGAGAGGGUAGUGGAAUUCCCGGUGUAGUGGUGGAAAUGCGUAGAUAUCGGGAGGAACACCAGUGGCGAAGGCGACUACCUGGCCUGUUCUUGACGCUGAGGCGCGAAAGCUAGGGGAGCAAACGGGAUUAAGAAACCCCAG